rnacentral:rRNA from 1 species
UACAGAGGGUGCAAGCGUUAAUCGGAAUUACUGGGCGUAAAGCGUGCGUAGACGGUCAUGUAAGUCAGGUGUGAAAGCCCCGGGCUCAACCUGGGAAUUGCAUUCGAGACUGCAUGGCUAGGAUGCGGAAGAGGGAAGCGGAAUUUCCGGUGUAGCGGUGAAAUGCGUAGAUAUCGGAAGGAACAUCAGUGGCGAAAGCGGCUUCCUGGACCAGUACCGACGUUCAGGCACGAAAGCGUGGGGAGCAAACAGG